GGAGGCGUGGCGUAGUGGUUUGAGCGCUGGACUGCGACUCUGGAGACCGGGGUUCGAGUCCCGGCUUUGCCA